AUUGAACGCUGGCGGCAGGCCUAACACAUGCAAGUCGAACGAGUGGCGGACGGGUGAGUAAUGUCUGGGAAACUGCCCGAUGGAGGGGGAUAACUACUGGAAACGGUCGCUAAUACCGCAUACCAUCGGAUGUGCCCAGAUGGGCUUCGCUAGUAGGUGGGGUAACGGCUCACCUAGGCGACGAUCCCUAGCUGGUCUGAGAGGAUGACCAGCAACACUGGAACGGAGACACGGGCCAGACGCCUACGGGAGGCAGCAGGGGGGAAUAUGGAAGAAUGGGCGCAAGCCUGAUGCAGCAAUGCCGCGGGUAGGAAGAAGGCCUGCGGGUUGUAAAGUACUUUCAGCGAGGAGGCGUUACUAGCAGAAGAAGCACCGGCUAACUCCGUGCCAGCAGCCGCGGUAAUAC
rnacentral:rRNA from 1 species